GAAACUCUACAAACAAUAUUAGACUGCAUCUGAAAUCAGAUAUUCACUGAGCAGGAGAUUAUGGAGAUUUGCUUGAUAUGAAACAUCAUCAUCAGCUGAGAGAUGAAUGCAGAAAGAGUGUCUG